UACAGAGGUCUCAAGCGUUGUUCGGAUUCAUUGGGCGUAAAGGGUGUGUAGGUGGCGCGCUAAGUCGGGUGUGAAAUUUCGGAGCUUAACUGCGAAACUGCAUUCGAUACUGGCGUGCUUGAGGACUGGAGAGGAGACUGGAAUUCAUGGUGUAGCAGUGAAAUGCGUAGAGAUCAUGAGGAAGACCAGUGGCGAAGGCGGGUCUCUGGGCAGUAACUGACGCUGAGGAGCGAAAGCGUGGGGAGCGAACAGG
rnacentral:rRNA from 1 species